rnacentral:rRNA from 1 species
CCUACGGGAGGCAGCAGUGGGGAAUAUUGCUCAAUGGGCGAAACCCUGAUCCAGCGACGCCGCGUGAGUGAAGACGUAUUUCGGUAUGUAAAGCUCUAUCAGCAGGGAAGAAGAAAGACGGUACCUGACUAAGAAGCCCCGGCUAAAUACGUGCCAGCAGCCGCGGUAAUACGUAGGGGGCAAGCGUUAUCCGGAUUUACUGGGUGUAACGGGAGCGUAGACGGCUGUGCAAGUCUGAGGUGAAAGCCCAGGGCGCAAACCUGGUACUGCUGUGGAAACUGUGGAGCUAGAGUGCUGGAGAGGUAAGUGGAAUUCCUGGUGUAGCGGUGAAAUGCGUAGAUAUUAGGAGGAACACCAGUGGCGAAGGCGGCUUACUGGACAGUAACUGACGUUGAGGCACGAAAGCGUGGGGAGCAAACAGGAUUAGAUACCCGAGUAGUC